rnacentral:snRNA from 1 species
AUGCUCGCUUCAGCAGCACAUAUACUAAAAUUGGAACAAUACAGAGAAGAUUCAAAUGGCCCCUGCACGAGGACGACUCGUAAAUUUGUGAAGCGUUCCAUAUUUU